GAUGAACGCUAGCUACAGGCUUAACACAUGCAAGUCGAGGGGCAGCAUGGUCUUAGCUUGCUAAGACUGAUGGCGACCGGCGCACGGGUGAGUAACACGUAUCCAACCUGCCGUCUACUCUUGGACAGCCUUCUGAAAGGAAGAUUAAUACAAGAUGGCAUCAUGAGUCCGCAUGUUCACAUGAUUAAAGGUAUUCCGGUAGACGAUGGGGAUGCGUUCCAUUAGAUAGUAGGCGGGGUAACGGCCCACCUAGUCUUCGAUGGAUAGGGGUUCUGAGAGGAAGGUCCCCCACAUUGGAACUGAGACACGGUCCAAACUCCUACGGGAGGCAGCAGUGAGGAAUAUUGGUCAAUGGACGAGAGUCUGAACCAGCCAAGUAGCGUGCAGGAUGACGGCCCUAUGGGUUGUAAACUGCUUUUAUAAGGGAAUAAAGUGGGAGUCGUGACUCUUUUGCAUGUACCUUAUGAAUAAGGACCGGCUAAUUCCGUG
rnacentral:rRNA from 1 species